rnacentral:rRNA from 1 species
AUGGAUCAGGAGCUGAUCGAGCACCUUGAGGCCAAAGUGAGUGCUGACAGCGCGAGAUCUCACCCUCUCAUCGAUUUGUUCAUACCAACCAUCGACAGCGAGCACGACAUAUGCUACACCCAUCCUGAGAAACUUCCAGGUAUCACGAUGAGUGGCCUAAGCAAGCAUUUCUUCCAGCGCAAUUCCAGGGCGUUCAAAAGGGGCACGUGGACGCGUCGCAAGAUACAGUCGGAGUGCGACAUGCACGCGAUGUGGCACAACACCGGCAAUACCUUGCCGGUGAUGGUCAACGGCCGGCAGACGAGCAGCAAAAAGGUUCUGGUGCUGCACACCAACAAGAACUUCGACCAACAGAGGACAAACUGGGUGAUGCACCUGUACCACCUCGGGGACCUGGAGCAGGAGAAGGAGCGGGAGCUGGUCCUCUGCAAGAUUUUCUACCAGACGAACACUAGGGCCGGGAGUAAAAAGAUUAUAAGUUAG